GACGAACGCUGGCGGCGUGCUUAACACAUGCAAGUCGAACGGAAAGGCCCUGCUUUUGUGGGGUGCUCGAGUGGCGAACGGGUGAGUAACACGUGAGUAACCUGCCCUUGACUUUGGGAUAACUUCAGGAAACUGGGGCUAAUACCGGAUAGGAGCUCCUGCUGCAUGGUGGGGGUUGGAAAGUUUCGGCGGUUGGGGAUGGACUCGCGGCUUAUCAGCUUGUUGGUGGGGUAGUGGCUUACCAAGGCUUUGACGGGUAGCCGGCCUGAGAGGGUGACCGGCCACACUGGGACUGAGAUACGGCCCAGACUCCUACGGGAGGCAGCAGUGGGGAAUAUUGCACAAUGGGCGGAAGCCUGAUGCAGCAAAGCCGCGUGCGGGAUGACGGGCUUCGGGUUGUAAACCGCUUUCGCCUGUGACGAAGCGUGAGUGACGGUAAUGGGUAAAGAAGCACCGGCUAACUACGUG
rnacentral:rRNA from 1 species